rnacentral:rRNA from 1 species
AACGAACGCUGGCGGCAUGCCUAACACAUGCAAGUCGAACGCCCCGGUUCGCCGGGGAGUGGCGCACGGGUGAGUAACACGUGGGAACCUGCCCGGCAGUACGGGACAACCGCGGGAAACUGCGGCUGAUACCGUAUACGGCCUGAGGGCGAAAGAAUUUCGCUGUCGGAGGGGCCCGCGUCGGAUUAGGUAGUUGGUGGGGUAACGGCCUACCAAGCCUGCGAUCCGUAGCUGGUCUGAGAGGAUGAUCAGCCACACUGGGACUGAGACACGGCCCAGACUCCUACGGGAGGCAGCAGUGGGGAAUAUUGGACAAUGGGCGCAAGCCUGAUCCAGCAAUGCCGCGUGAGUGAUGAAGGCCUUAGGGUUGUAAAGCUCUUUCGCCCGCGACGAUGAUGACGGUAGCGGGAGAAGAAGCCCCGGCUAACUCCGUGCCAGCCGCCGCCGUAAGAC